rnacentral:rRNA from 1 species
UACGGAGGGUGCGAGCGUUGUCCGGAAUCACUGGGCGUAAAGGGCGCGUAGGCGGCAUGCCAAGCGUGUAGUGAAAGCCCGGGGCUCAACCCCGGGUCGGCCGUGCGGACUGGCGUGCUCGAGACUGUAGGGGCGGGUGGAAUUCCGGGUGUAGCGGUGGAAUGCGUAGAGAUCCGGAAGAACACCGGUGGCGAAGGCGGCCCGCUGGGCAGGAAGGCUCGCAAGAGCCGGCUGACGCUGAGGCGCGACAGCGUGGGGAGCAAACAGG